rnacentral:rRNA from 1 species
UACGUAGGGUGCAAGCGUUGUCCGGAAUUAUUGGGCGUAAAGAGCUCGUAGGCGGUCUGUUGCGUCGGCUGUGAAAACCCGGGGCUCAACCCCGGGCCUGCAGCCGAUACGGGCAGACUAGAGUUCGGCAGGGGAGACUGGAAUUCCUGGUGUAGCGGUGAGAUGCGCAGAUAUCAGGAGGAACACCGGUGGCGAAGGCGGGUCUCUGGGCCGAUACUGACGCUGAGGAGCGAAAGCGUGGGGAGCGGACAGG